AGCGAACGCUGGCGGCAGGCUUAACACAUGCAAGUCGAACGCCCCGCAAGGGGAGUGGCAGACGGGUGAGUAACACGUGGGAACGUACCCUUUGGUUCGGAAUAACUUGGGGAAACUCAAGCUAAUACCGGAUAAGCCCUUAUGGGGAAAGGUUUACUGCCGAAGGAUCGGCCCGCGUCUGAUUAGCUAGUUGGUGAGGUAAUGGCUCACCAAGGCGACGAUCAGUAGCUGGUCUGAGCGGAUGAUCAGCCACACUGGGACUGAGACACGGCCCAGACUCCUACGGGGGGCAGCAGUGGGGAAUAUUGGACAAUGGGGGCAACCCUGAUCCAGCCAUGCCGCGUGAGUGAUGAAGGCCUUAGGGUUGUAAAGCUCUUUUACCCGGGACGAUAAUGACUGUACCGGGAGAAUAAGCCCCGGCUAACUUCGUGCCAGCCGCCGCGGUAA
rnacentral:rRNA from 1 species